AACGUGUUAUCUUCGACUGUGCCUUUGCUUUACAAUCGUCAAUGCCGACGCGGUGCAAGACUCUUUAGCCCACACAAUCUCUUCCGUUUUCUUCUCUUUUUCUUCAACUCCAAUUUCUUCUCCGUCUUUUGCUUCUCUCUCUCUCGCUCUCUCUCUCUCUCUUUUUCUUUAAUUUUUAUCAACGCCGAUACUUUUUAUUUGUAAGAAUCCUGUCAAAGAAAGAAGAAGAACAUAUAUUAAUUAAUAAAUUAUAAUCUGAAGGAAAGCGCGUUCGUACAUCUCCUUUUUCCGGAAUAUCUGAUUAUUUCAGGAUGAAAGCAAGUGUGAUCGGACUUCGGGUGAAAGAACUCUCCCUUAUGCUUAUCGUUCUUGUGUGUACAACCAUUCUCAUAUGGGCAUGGGACAGGACUCCAAUUCUCACCACCUUUCUCCCACCUAAAAAGUGGAUUAUUUCGGCUGCCUCCAGAUGUUAUUUUGGAAACUCCUUCAACCAGCUCUGUAUCAUCAGGAGUGAAAAUAAUUCCAAGAGAAGAAAUGUUUUCACCUCCACAAAUAGAGACCAAACAUAGUAAAGAUGAUGAGCAUGUGGGCAUACAAACUCGAAGGGAAAUAGAAGAUAACGAAGUGACUUUGAGGGAAAGGAGUUCAGAACAAGAAAGACAAAGUUUAGAUGUAGUAGCACCAAUUGAUGAAACCUCUUCACUGGUGACGGAGAAGUAUGAAAAGAAUCAGACAAUGCAUUCAAAAACAGAAGGAUGUAAUUAUGCAAAA